AUCUCAGCUUAAGCAAGAGGACCCGCCGAAUUUAAGCAUAUAAUUAAGCGGAGGAAAAGAAACUAACCAGGAUUCCCUCAGUAAGGGCGACUGAAGCGGGAAGUGCUCAGGAUGUGAAUCUGCGCCUUGUUGCGCCGAAUUGUGGUCUGUCGACUGUGGCAUUACUGGCCGGGCCAAGUCCCUUGGAACAGGGCAGCUGAGAGGGUGAGACUCCCGUCCGCCUGGCUGGGUGAGCCGCAAGUCAACGAGUCGAGUUGUUUGGGAUUGCAGCUCAAAGUGGGUGGUAAAUUCCAUCUAAAGCUAAAUAUUGGUGGGAGACCGAUAGCGUACAAGUACCGUGAGGGAAAGAUGCAAAGAACUUUGAAAAGAGAGUUAAAGAGUACCUGAAAUUGCUGAAAGGGAAGCGAAGGAAACCAGUGUCGGCUUGAUCAUAUUUCCCUGUCCGCUUGCGGUUUGGGCGCUGUGUCCGGCCUCGGUUGUUCUUGGUUGGGUCUGCUGGAAGAGCGCGGUGAGAGUUGAUCUCCGUUGCUAGCAGUGGUCCUGACUGAGGAGGACGAAAUGGUUUUCUUUACCCCGUCUUGAAACACGGACCA
rnacentral:rRNA from 1 species